rnacentral:rRNA from 1 species
UGGGGAAUAUUGGGCAAUGGAGGCAACUCUGACCCAGCAACGCCGCGUGAGGGAAGAAGGUUUUCGGAUUGUAAACCUCUGUCCUUGGGGACGAAGAAAGUGACGGUACCCAAGGAGGAAGCCCCGGCUAACUACGUGCCAGCAGCCGCGGUAAUACGUAGGGGGCGAGCGUUGUCCGGAAUUACUGGGCGUAAAGGGUGCGUAGGCGGUUUUUUAAGUCAGAUGUGAAAUCCCCGGGCUUAACUCGGGUGGUGCAUUUGAAACUGGGAGACUAGAGUGCAGGAGAGGGAAGCGGAAUUCCUAGUGUAGCGGUGAAAUGCGUAGAUAUUAGGAGGAACACCAGUGGCGAAGGCGGCUUUCUGGACUGUAACUGACGCUGAGGCACGAAAGCGUGGGGAGCAAACAG